rnacentral:rRNA from 1 species
UGGGGAAUAUUGCACAAUGGGCGAAAGCCUGAUGCAGCGACGCCGCGUGAGGGAUGACGGCCUUCGGGUUGUAAACCUCUUUCAGCAGGGAAGAAGCGAAAGUGACGGUACCUGCAGAAGAAGCACCGGCUAACUACGUGCCAGCAGCCGCGGUAAUACGUAGGGUGCGAGCGUUGUCCGGAAUUAUUGGGCGUAAAGAGCUUGUAGGCGGUCUGUCGCGUCUGCUGUGAAAAUCCGGGGCUCAACCCCGGACUUGCAGUGGGUACGGGCAGACUAGAGUGUGGUAGGGGAGACUGGAAUUCCUGGUGUAGCGGUGAAAUGCGCAGAUAUCAGGAGGAACACCGAUGGCGAAGGCAGGUCUCUGGGCCACUACUGACGCUGAGAAGCGAAGGCAUGGGGAGCGAACAGG